GACGAACGCUGGCGGCGUGCUUAACACAUGCAAGUCGAACGAAGUGGCGAACGGGUGAGUAACGCGUAAUCAACCUGCCCUUCAGAGGGGGACAACAGUUGGAAACGACUGCUAAUACCGCAUACGGAAGGAGGGGAUUGCGUCGGCUACGCUAGUUGGGGGGGUAACGGCCCAACAAGGCGAUGACCAGUAGCCGGUCUGGGAGGGUGGACGGCCACAAUGGGACUGGGACACGGCCCAGACCCCUAAGGGAGGGAGCAGUGGGGGAUCUUCCGAAAUGGACGAAAGUCUGACGGAGCAACGCCGCGUGAGUUAUGGCGGCCUUCGGGUUGGAAAGCUCUGUUAAUCGGGACGCGUUACCGAAAUAGAAAGCCACGGCUAACUACGUGCCAGCAGCCGCGGUAAUUC
rnacentral:rRNA from 1 species